rnacentral:rRNA from 1 species
GGGGAAUAUUGGACAAUGGGCGGAAGCCUGAUCCAGCAACGCCGCGUGAGGGAUGACGGCCUUCGGGUUGUAAACCUCUUUCAGUACCGACGAAGCGCCGAUGAUGGUGGUGACGGUAGGUACAGAAGAAGCACCGGCCAACUACGUGCCAGCAGCCGCGGUAAUACGUAGGGUGCGAGCGUUGUCCGGAAUUAUUGGGCGUAAAGGGCUCGUAGGCGGUUUGUCGCGUCUGCUGUGAAAACUCGAGGCUCAACGUCGGGCUUGCAGUGGGUACGGGCUGACUAGAGUGCGGUAGGGGUGACUGGAAUUCCUGGUGUAGCGGUGGAAUGCGCAGAUAUCAGGAGGAACACCGAUGGCGAAGGCAGGUCACUGGGCCGCAACUGACGCUGAGGAGCGAAAGCAUGGGGAGCGAACA